rnacentral:lncRNA from 1 species
UGAAGAAAUUGAAAAAGGUACAUCACAGUAACACUAUAACACUUUGUAUUGUUUAUUUAUUUUUUUGUAAUGUAGUUUAAAUUCUUCUUAAUAAAUUAUGAUUUGCUCACAUUUGUCUUUUAAAAAUUGCAGAAUUUUCAGCAGGCGAUUUAGAUGCAUCAAUCUUGGAUAUGUAAUAUGGUUGAUUUGCUCGAGAAUGUGGACUUGAUAGUUGAGAGAAUUGUGCCUUGUGCCGUUGUGCGUUGUUUGUUUUUAAUCUUGGAUUAGUUGGAUAUGUAAUAUGGUUGAUUGGAUUACUUGCUAGUGAGUAGUGGGUACUUUAGUUCUGUUAUGUUCAGCUGAUAAAAUGAUGUUAUGUUCUGUUAUGUUCAGUUUAUCAGGUUAUGUUUUAUCAUAUGGUUAUGACUUAUGAGGUUAUUUUCUGUUAUGUUCAGGUGAUAAAAUGAU